rnacentral:rRNA from 1 species
GACGAACCGUGCGAACGUUGUUCGGAAUCACUGGGCUUAAAGGGCGCGUAGGCGGGCGCACAAGUCAGGGGUGAAAGCCCACGGCUCAACCGUGGAAGUGCCUUUGAUACUGUGUGUCUUGAGGGAGGUAGGGGCGUGCGGAACUUCCGGUGGAGCGGUGAAAUGCGUAGAUAUCGGAAGGAACACCGGUGGCGAAAGCGGCGCGCUGGACCUCUUCUGACGCUGAGGCGCGAAAGCCAGGGGAGCAAACGGG